CUUCCAGGUAAAAGAAUUACCUAUGCAGCUUAAGUUUGCACAUUGGUUCUGCACAGUGCACAACGUAUGGCUAUAGUGUGAGAGUGAACUUCCAUCAAGAGGCACCAUCCAUUAUUUUUGCCAGAAGAUAUUAUGAUCUUUUGCAUUAAUGACUGCUACAACACAAUGUAUGAAUCAGUAGAAGGCUAGAGGGUUUUUUCUGUAUCAUCACAGACCAUGAGUAUUUAUAUCACCAUGGACUAAAAAUAUGUUUGCUGAAAUUUGAUUAUUUAGAUAAAAUAUGCUAACAGUAAAUUCUUUGCUCCAUAUUGUACACAGCAUGUUUCCAAUUGACCAAAACUGAAAUUAUCAGUACAAACACAAAUAGGAAAGGACUAUGGAAACACCAUAUAUUUGAAGGUCUGCCAUCAGGACCCAAAUGCUGAAGCUGACUGGCUGGAGAAUGCCCUCAAUAGCACUUACUGUGCAGAGGAACUGCCUGCAGGCAGGGAGUCCAUGAGGAGGAGGCAUGCAGAGAUCCACCUGAUCAGAGAGUCUGCACAAAACUAAUGAGCUCCAGGAAUGACAGGGGCUGCCUAGGCUUCUCCAGCAGUGGGCCACAAAGGAUGAAAGUAGAGUAAGGAAGAAGCAGGAAUUUAGUCAUAGAUUUGCUUUGCAGCACCCAGUAGAAAUGGCUGGGACCAGGAAAGGCUUUUCAAAGCAUGAACCUUUCCAUUAUCCCUCUGCAAAGCCAUUCCAUACUUCAGAGAGGACUGUAUUUAUUGUGUCAGCCAAAGCAUUAUGAAUGCUUUGGUUGACACAAGGAUUAAUUCUAUCUUCUCCUUUUUCAUCCUUAUUUCCUUGAAUAAAAGUUCUAGUUACGGGUGCAUAAAUCAAACACACAGGGAAUAUUAGUCCCAUCCUUAUAAAGAACAAUUUACUGUGAUUUGUUUGUCUGAAACUUUGGUGCAUGAUGGUUUGUUGCCUGUUCCUGUGCAAAUGAUACAGUAAAUCACCCAACCUAGCAGCAAUUUCUCACUACUGUCUUUAUAUUUUACCUGCACAGGAGCAGGGAUUUUUCACUUGCAAUACCAUUUUCCACCCUGUAUAGUGAGUCUGCAGAAAGAGCACCUGACCCUGCAUCUGCAGUGAGCUCUUCCAGACUCAGCUCUGCACCACCUCUCCAUUUGUUAAGAUAAAUGAUGCCCUCAUGCAAGGACACAAAAGCCCACCACAUAGGCAGAAACUUCUCAAACACCUGUCAGGGGAGGAGGUGCUUGUCUUCACAAACUUCUCUUUGUCACAGGCUUUAUCUUGUGGACAUCUGCCUCCAAAACCAUCAGACUUCCCACUGGAAUUUGCAGGAUGCUCCUCUGAUCGGCUGCACACUAAAGUGAAACUUACCUUUAUUUCUGGCUCACAGGCUGGUAGCAGACUUGUGCUGGUGCAGAGUGUGUAGGGCAGUCCCACACCUUCAAGAGCAGAAGGGAGGAAAUCAGCUGCGAUCAAUUU
ensembl:lncRNA